CAUGUGGGAACAGGCUGUACUGGCAGCUGGUGCCUCUGGCAUUGUGGAGAGGAGGUGGGGGAGGGAGCGGGCACCAACAUCCUGGACUCUGGAGCCUGGCAUGAGAGCAGUGCCAUUCCUAGGUUAUAGAUGAGCUAAAUUAGCUGUGACGCUCAUUAGCGGCAGCUCCUAAUUAGUGAAAAUUAAUAUUGGCUUUGAUAAAGACGUCGGCGCCAGCUCUCCAAGGCAGAGGCAUUAUCAUCCUUGUCAGCUGGGCUAACGACUGGACGAGAAAAAUUGAGGCUCAGAGAGGUUGAGGAACUUGCCCUGGGACCUCUGGAUACCAGGAUUUGGGCCCAGGCAGCCUGACUCAAGAGCCAUGAUCCUGACUUUGGUAUUAUCCUGCCCUUCCCUUCAACCUCACCCCCAAAAGGGGCACUCUGGAUGCCAGCCCCAUCGUAUACCAGCACGUAACAUCAUAUCCGGCACACAAACCUGUACUUCCAUUUACAGCCCCUGAGUAAGUCCAGGACAAAGUCUCCAGGCUCUGUAUUCCAGAACACCGCCUCUCCAGUAGGGAAGACUCCGGGAGCAUCCUGCCUUCCCAGGCGGGAAUGGAGGCCAGGAGGCUUUGCCCAGACCUUGACUGUGCUAUUGCCAAGUGACCAGCUCUGGGGCCUGGCUCCUCUGCCACUUGGGAGAGGACUCGGCAGAUGGGCUUCCCUUCACCCCAGUCCCUGCUCCCCAGCCAGAGACCCUGAGUUCCAGCCCAGGGUAAUGAGGGGAAGUAACAGAUACACCUACUUUUAAUCCAAAUAAAGGAAAAAUGUUUGCCACCAUGGAGUUUAUAAAAAUAACAAUGCAUUAUUCGGGUAUUAAUAACAAUAAAGAUGUCAAACUGUCAGAUAAGAAGUUAAUCUCAUUCCGAGCACAAUUAAAGAUG
rnacentral:lncRNA from 1 species